rnacentral:sRNA from 1 species
UGUUUGCAGCUCUCUGGAUGGUCUCAGCUUCCGCCCUGAACCUUCCUUCUACUCACAAAGACCCCGGCUGGCCUCCCUCAGCCCCUGGCACGUCCGCUUUGCAAGGCAACAGCAAGAAGACACCCCUGUCACUGAACAUCCUGCCAGCCAUCGUUGAUGGAGUCUCUCUCUCAGCGGAGAGGAAAGGGGAGGCUCCUAGCACAAGGGCAGAAGCCCUCUCUCCCGAGGUAUCUGGGGACCAGGAAGCUCCUCUCGCCUUGUCUUUGGAUUCCUCCUCGGACCAGGCUGUCCCUUCAGGAACUGCUGGGGUCCCAGGCAAGGCCCCACCUGGACCAGCCCCAUCAGCACUGGCCUGGCCUACAGCCCACAGAACCCCUGAAUCCCAGCCAGUGUCCUCUGUGGCCAGACUUGUGUCUGGAUCUGUGGCUGGACCUGCAGAGGAGAUGUUGGUCCCUGGAUCUCCAGAGAUUGCUGCCCCAUUACCACCACCAGCUUCUCUUGGCCCAAGGCAUCUCGGGUCUGGGCAAAAGUCCAGUGAGGCCCCUGAGUUGUCUGUGACAAUUCAUGCUCCCGCCCCUGCAACCCUGAGGACCUCUGGCACCCCCAGACCUACCCAGCAGCCAUCUGGAACAUCCUCUGCCCCCAACACCUCGGCACCCAUAUUGGGAUCCCCACCGCGGAUGCCCUGGCUCCCAAGCAGGCACACCUUCAGUCCCCAUGCCUGGAUGCUGCCUGCGUCAGGGGCUAGCAGCUUUGGCCCAGAAGCCUCCUCAUCGCUGACAUUGGCUCCAGGGACCACGGGGAAGGCUGUGUCCUCAGAACCCCCCAGCCCAUUUGUGCUUGCGUCGAUCGUUAACACGUUGGCUGUCACAGAGCCUCUUACCCCUGUAGGUCCCUCCCCAGUCCUCAUAGGGGAUUCAGGGUCACCUAGAGAGGCUGUGGCUUCCAGCCGGGGCCCGGGGCCCAGUGUUCCUUUGACGUUGCCAUCGCCCUCAGCAGCACCACCUUCACAGCCAUCACUGUCCUUCUCCCCAUGCCUCUCACCUGUGUUGGCCCCGUCCUCGUCCCCACUACACAUUGUUCCAUCUUUGUCGCUGUCACUGUCACUUUCCCCACCACAAUGGCCAUUUCAGUCACCAACUGCAUCACUAUCCCCAAUCCUGGCCCCAGUUUCCCCUGUAAGUACUAGAGCCAGAACCUCUGCAGACCCUUCUGUGUCUAUUCCCACACACAAGCACAGAUUCUCCCACUGAUCCUCCAGCCUCCCACCCACCCUACCACCCUUGAUGGUUGCAGAGCCAGCCACACUUCAGGGGACAGUCCAGCCUGGGCCAGGGGUCCCUGCCAGCCCAGCCACCACAGCCACCCUCCCUCUCAGAUGUUCCUCCCGCCUUCCCUCUGCCCCACCCAGCCCCAGCUCCCUAAGGGUCCCUGGGGGUGCUGACCCCAUCCAGUCUUCCACCCUGCCUCACGCAGCCAGACCUUCUCAUUCCAGGACUCAGUCUCCUCUACCCCAGGACCCAGUCACAUGACCCGCUCCGUGACCUUCACAAUCACCAAUGAAGCCUUCUCGGCUGCACUCUUGAACCCUGCCUCCUGGAAGCACCAGCUGCUGCGUAAGAUCAUCCACCACCAGCUCCAGCCCCUCUACCACGAGGCCUUCCCCGGCUUCCAGGGCAUCGGUGUCCUGGUCUUCAGGCCUGGCUCUGUAGCGGUGAACGCCUCCCUUGUAUUUGGGGGCCAUGCCCCAGGCCCCUCUCCCUGUGAACUCCUCUGGGCUUUGUAUCGCAAAGUGAAGACCUCAGGGCACAUGCUGGGGAACCUCUCAUUGGCUGAGAACAGCCUCACCUCUGAUGGGGCCGACCUGAUCACCCUGGCCCGGGAGACCAUCAGCAUCCGCUUCACAGCCAUGAGGUCCUUCCUGCCGCAGCUCCUCGUACCGGGUUCUGUUUCCUUUGUCCUGCUGGAAAGGCAGAUCCUCCAACAGGUCACACCGGUGGUGUCAGGAUUCUACAAGGCGAGUCCCCAGGAGAGGCCCCUGCUCCUCUUCAGCAAUGUGGACCAGUGGGUGGGUGUUUAUAUCGAAUACAAGUUCCAGACUCCCAUCACUACCCACCUCCAAGGCCUGGCUAAUCACUUGGCCCAAAACAUAACAGAUCCCAUCCUCCAGAAAUCCAGCAUCGUGGCCAAUGGGGAGAAGGCAGAGCUGGUGCUGUAUGAAGUUUGGCUGCAGAUCCUGGGCCAGCCCUACACCAAGGCUUUGGAGGACAAAACCAGCCCUGAGUUCUGGGCACUUCAAGGGCAGCUGACGAGAUGGCUGACCUUCAUCCUCAGAUCUCUGCAGAACUUUGACCAAGUGGUGGUGGAGGAAUUCCGGCCGGAGCCACUGACUGCCAGAAUGGGUGCCACCUUCUUCAGGGCGGCGCCAGCCCAGGCUCUCGUGUGGGACCAUUUGCGCCAGGGUCUGCACACCCUGGGGGAGGCAGAGGGCCUCUUGGUGGAGACGGUCAUCCCAGACCUCG